UACGAAGGGGGCUAGCGUUGCUCGGAAUUAUUGGGCGUAAAGAGCUCGUAGGCGGUUUGUCGCGUCGGCCGUGAAAACUUGGGGCUUAACCCCAAGCCUGCGGUCGAUACGGGCAGACUUGAGUUCGGCAGGGGAGACUGGAAUUCCUGGUGUAGCGGUGGAAAUGCGCAGAUAUCAGGAGGAACACCGGUGGCGAAGGCGGGUCUCUGGGCCGAUACUGACGCUGAGGAGCGAAAGCGUGGGGAGCGAACAGG
rnacentral:rRNA from 1 species